UCGUUCUCGCGAUAUUUCACGACGCGAGUAAACAGCCACCAUUCGUAGAGACUUUUGGGGGGAGAGAGGAAAAAUCGAGAAAAGUGUCAGGGAUUUUUUUUAAAGACGUUUCCUAGAAAAGAAGUAUCAUCUCUCAUUCUACAAGAAGGGCAAAUAUAAACCGCAAAUACCCCACUCUGUUCUUUUGCCCCGCUGUUUACAGUAACAUGUUCGCAGCCACCUGUCCGAACUGCGCGUAGUGUGGCUUGUGGGAGCCGUUAGCAUUAGCAUUAGAAUUGCUAGGCCUGUUGUGUGUUAUUAGCUUAGCACUUUUUUUCCCCCACCUUCAGCACAUAUAUUUUUUUUGUUAAUUUUUGCUUUAUUUCUUAUUUUUCUUCUGGAGAAAUGAUUAUUGAAAACCUCGAUGCCUUGAAGACGUGGCUCACCAAAACUCUCGAACCAAUAUGUGACGCCGAUCCGUCUGCGCUCGCUAAAUAUGUGGUGGCUUUGGUGAAGAAGGACAAGUCGGAGAAGGAGCUGAGAGCACUAUGCAUAGACCAGUUGGAUGUAUUUCUCCAGAAGGAGACUCAGACAUUUGUGGAUAAACUUUUGAAGCUGUGAACACAAAGAGCUACCUACCUCAGGUUGAGACGAUGAGCUCCACAGACAGGUCGGAGGGUCAUGCACGCUCCGAGAAAGACGAGCAGAAGAAAGACGAGCAGCCGGGUCGGGAUGAUGAACGAGAGAAGAAGUUCUCCAGGAGAGUGAACCACAGUCCCCAGCCCGGCUCGUGAGACAGAUGCAUGACACCGUCUAAGAUGAAGGAAUGGUUUUGGGAAAAGUGGACUGAGAUGGAGUGAGGUUUUUUACCUCUUGAUUACAUGUGUGGAAGGAGUCUUCAGAGUCGGCGCUUUUCUGGAGUUUGUGCACGUUUCGGAUUCUCAGUAACAGCAGAUCAGUGACGUUGUGAUGGACGUUACAUGUCGAAAUAAACAGCUACAAAUAGUGACGUAGGGUUUGUUCAUAAAUCAAGUCGUAGGAUCCGAUUCAUUACAUCACAUGAUGAUUGAUUAUUUUUUUUGUACAUUAUUAGAGGCGAUAAAGAAAGAAUCUCAUUUAUGAGUAUUUAUGAGUUUGGGCUUCACAGGAACAGGAGCAGAGCUUUAGCAUUUGGGACGUGACCAGUGUGUGUGUGUGUGUGUGUUUUGUGUGUGUGUGUGUGUGUGAGAGAGUAUUUUCAGUUGAAGUGCUUCCCAUUCCUGUAUUCAAGCUGCAAAAUGGAGAUAAAGCUAAUAAACCCCAUAAGACCAGUCAUCAUAAGCAACUUUUGAUGCCACCUUUUUUUUUUGUUUUGAACCUGGUGAAUGUUUUCUUCCUCUUCUUACACCUUUAGAUGUUGUUAAAAAUGUUGUUGUUGUUGUUUAUUAGCUUUUCUUUUUCCUGACGAUUUCGUCCCUGUUCUGAAAAUCGAGUGCCUUUUUUUUUUUUUUUUUGAUUGCCAGACUUCCUCUCGUGAUUCAGAGCCAUGUCCCGCUCGUGACCUUUCACCUCCAGCCACAUUCCUUCCAGUAAAAAAAAAAAAUUACAAAAAUAAAAAAAAAGUAAUAAAACUAUCAGACCUGUGAUUUAACAGUCACCAAUGGA